rnacentral:rRNA from 1 species
GACGAACGCUGGCGGCGUGCUUAACACAUGCAAGUCGAACGGAAAGGCCCUGCUUUUGUGGGGUGCUCGAGUGGCGAACGGGUGAGUAACACGUGAGUAACCUGCCCUUGACUUUGGGAUAACUUCAGGAAACUGGGGCUAAUACCGGAUAGGAGCUCCUGCUGCAUGGUGGGGGUUGGAAAGUUUCGGCGGUUGGGGAUGGACUCGCGGCUUAUCAGCUUGUUGGUGGGGUAGUGGCUUACCAAGGCUUUGACGGGUAGCCGGCCUGAGAGGGUGACCGGCCACAAUGGGACUGAGAGACGGACCAGACUCCUACGGGAGGCAGCAGUGGGGAAUAUUGCACAAUGGGGGGAAGCCUGAGGCAGAAACGCCGCGGGCGGGAAGAAGGCCUUCGGGUUGUAAACCGCUUUCGCCUGUGACGAAGCGGGAGUGACGGUAAUGGGUAAAGAAGCACCGGCUAACUACGUG